rnacentral:rRNA from 1 species
CUGCAGCUCAAGUGGUGGCCGCUAUUAUUGGGCCUAAAACGUCCGUAGCCUGUUUAGUAAAUGCUUGGGUAAAUUGUGUAGCUUAACUAUACGAAUACCGAGUAGACUGCUAAACUUGGGACCGGGAGAAGCUAGAGGUACUCCUAGGGUAGAGGUGAAAUUCUGUAAUCCUAGGGGGACCACCAGUGGCGAAGGCGUCUAGCUAGAACGGGUCUGACGGUGAGGGACGAAGCCCUGGGGCGCAAACCGGAUUAGAUACCCGAGUAGUCC